rnacentral:rRNA from 1 species
AUCCUGACGCAGGGAGGUAGUGACAAUAAAUAACAAUGCUCUGGCUCUUCGAGUCGGGCAAUUGGAAUGAGAACAAUUUAAAUCCCUUAUCGAGGAUCAAUUGGAGGGCAAGUCUGGUGCCAGCAGCCGCGGUAAUUCCAGCUCCAAUAGCGUAUAUUAAAGUUGUUGCAGUUAAAAAGCUCGUAGUUGGAUUUCUGCUUUGAGCGUCCGGUCCGCUCCUUUGGAGUGUGUUACUAGGAUGGUUGAGGCAUUUUUUGUGAGGACGCCCUUCUGCCAUUCAGUUGGUGGUUGGAUGGACUUGCAUCGUUUACUGUGAAAAAAUUAGAGUGUUUAAAGCAGGCGUUUGCUCAUUGAAUACAUUAGCAUGGAAUAAUAAGAUACGACCUUGGUGGUCUAUUUUGUUGGUUUGCACACCAGGGUAAUGAUUAAUAGGGACAGUUGGGGGUAUUCAUAUUGCAGCGUCAGAGGUGAAAUUCUUGGAUCGCUGCAAGAUGAGCUUAGGCGAAAGCAUUUACCAAGGAUGUUUUCAUUAAUCAAGAGCGAAAGUUAAGGGAUCGAAGAUGAUUAGAUACCAUCGUAGUCUUAACCAUAAACUAUGCCGACUCGGGAUUGGCAGUCGUUUUUUUAAUGACCUUGUCAGCACC